rnacentral:lncRNA from 1 species
CUGGAAGCAGUAAUGAUACAAUUUUUGAAGGUGCAACUAUCACAAUGAUCUUUCCUUUAGAAUAAAUUUUUAGAAUAAUUAUUUGCCAAAGAUAGGUCUUGCUGGUCCCUCCAUGAUCAUAUAUAAAAAAUACACCACUUGUAUCAUUCUCCAUUGCAUUUAAUACAGCAUUAUAAAUAAUCUCUUAUUCUUCAUUUAGAUCUUUAUAUAAUCUUGAAUAUUCUACUUGCAUUUCAUGUACAUCAUAAUCUAAUUCUGCCAUCAAUAAUCUAUUAUU